UGGAAGGAUGAGACAGAUGACCUUUAAAAAGCAAAAAGCGGUUUGCCAAACAUCUGUUAUGAGACUGAAGGCUCUUACGACUCUGGAUCUACAGUGAAGACAAUUUUCUUGUUAUCAAACCACUGAUACAUUUAGAGUGCGGGCUACUUGUAUCAUCUGACAUUUUAACAUCAGUUUGAGAGUGCUAAUGAUCUUAGUUAAGAGGAUGGCCGGAUGAAAACUGCAUAUUCCAUGCUUUCAGACAAUGUUGUAAAAUAACAGCUUCCCUUGAAAAGUUACAUAAGCCUUCCUCUGAGACACUUCUUGGGAAGGAGGUGCCAGGAAAUUGUGGAUUGGAGCCAGAAAGGCUGCUACAUCUCGGUGUGAAUCUGAAAAAUAACCAGUACUGGGUUUGUGUAACUGUUGUGGUUUAACCCCAGCCAGCAACUGAGUACCAUGCAGCGCUCGCUCGCCAUCCCUGGCCCUGCCGUUGAAUAAG